rnacentral:lncRNA from 1 species
CACCCUAUGUGUACAAGUCACCACCUCCUCCAUCACCAUCACCUCCACCACCUUACAUUUACAAGUCUCCACCACCUCCACCCUAUGAGCACAAGUCACCAUCUUAUGAGUACAAGUCUCCCCCGCCUCCUACACCAUCACCCCCACCACCCUAUGUGUACAAGUCACCACCUCCUCCAUCACCAUCACCUCCACCACCUUACAUUUACAAGUCUCCACCACCUCCACCCUAUGACCACAAGUCUCCAUCUUAUGAGUACAAGUCUCCCCCGCCUCCUUCACCAUCACCCCCACCACCCUAUGUGUACAAGUCACCACCUCCUCCAUCACCAUCACCUCCACCACCUUACAUUUACAAGUCUCCACCACCUCCACCCUAUGACCACAAGUCUCCAUCUUAUGAGUACAAGUCUCCCCCUCCUCCUUCACCAUCACCCCCACCACCAUAUGUGUACAAGUCACCACCUCCUCCAUCACCAUCACCUCCACCACCUUACAUAUACAAGUCUCCACCACCUCCACCCUAUGAGCGCAAAUCUCCAUCUUAUGAGUACAAGUCUCCCCCACCACCAUACGUGUACAAGUCACCACCUCCUCCAUCACCCCCACCUCCAUACAUAUACAAGUCACCGCCUCAACCACCUUAUGAACACAAGUCUCCACCAUACUAUUACAAGAGCCCUCCACCACCCUCUCCCUCACCUCCGCCUCCUUAUUAUUACAAAUCCCCCCCACCCCCAUCACCAUCUCCACCACCACCUUACUAUUACAAAUCUCCUCCCCCGCCAUCUCCUAUUCCCCAUACACCUUACUACUACAAGUCCCCACCACCACCUAAGUAUCUUCCACCACCAUACUAUUAUAACUCUCCUCCUCCACAUGUUGUGUAUCCUCAACCACACCCCUACCACCACUCAUUGAUUGUGA